rnacentral:rRNA from 1 species
AACGAACGCUGGCGGCGUGCCUAACACAUGCAAGUCGUGCGGGAAAGCGGGGGCAACUCCGCGAGUAUAGCGGCGCACGGGUGAGUAACACGUAGGUAACCUACCUUCGAGCCUGGGAUAACCUGUCGAAAGACGGGCUAAUACCAGAUAAGACCACCGCGGUUGCGGCUUAGGUGGUAAAAGAUGGCCUCUGCUUGCACGCUACCACUUGGAGAUGGGCCUGAGCGCCAUUAGCUAGUUGGCGGGGUAAAAGCCAACCAAGGCAAAGAUGGCUAGCUGGGCUGCGAGGAUGGCCAGCCACACUGGGACUGAGACACGGACCAGACUCCUACGGGAGGCAGCAGUGGGGAAUAUUGCGCAAUGGGCGAAAGCCUGACGCAGCGACGCCGCGUGGGUGAUGAAGGCCGUCGGGUCGUAAAGCCCUGUCGGGGGGGACGAAACCUCCCGGUGCUAAUAUCACCGGGACUUGACGGUACCCCCUAAGGAAGCACCGGCUAACUCCGUGCCAGCAGCCGCCGUAAGAC